rnacentral:rRNA from 1 species
UACGGAGGGUGCGAGCGUUGUCCGGAAUCACUGGGCGUAAAGGGCGCGUAGGCGGCCCGACAAGCGUGGGGUGAAAGUCCGGGGCUCAACCCCGGAUCGGCCUCGCGAACUGUCGGGCUGGAGCACUGUAGGGGCGGGUGGAAUUCCGGGUGUAGCGGUGGAAUGCGUAGAGAUCCGGAAGAACACCGGUGGCGAAGGCGAUCUUCUGGACGGAUACUGACGCUGAGGCGCGAAAGCUAGGGGAGCAAACGGG